AUUAGCGAUUUGUCAACUACAUCAUUUUUUUUUGUUUUUAUCUUUCCGGAUCCAGGAACACAGCAGAACACGGUUAGCUGCUAGCCCACCCUGAGAGGAGGAGCGACCAAGACGACUCCGUCACCUCUCACAAACAACAUGGGGAUGUUCCUCUUCGUUGACUGAAAAAUAGAAAACCACACGACUGAAAUUAAGUUGCCGUAUUGAACCUUCAGCAUUUCAGUGUUACAUUCCUAGAGCUGUCUGAGCACCUCUUCAGGGAUCCACAACUAUUGGUGUCCUGGCCCAGGAGAACAUAGUGGGAGACCCUCAUGCUCAGAGAUCCUCCUACAUCGCUGCUUCCUAUAUAAAGUACCUGGAGAGUGCUGGAGCCAGGGUUGUCCCCAUAAGAAUAAACAGAACCGAUGAAGAGUAUGAGAAGAUAUUUAACUCAAUAAACAGGCUGCUGCUACCAGGUGGGGGUGUAGAUCUGCAGACUUCCCAGUUCAGUCGUCUGUCAAAGAUUUUCUGUGAUCUGGCUAUCAAGACCGUCUGAUUACUUCUCCAUAUGGGGAAUGUGCCAGGGCCUUCAGCAGAUGACAGUACUGACCAGCAACAAGAACCUUCUGACUCUGACAGAGACUAAGGCUGUGGCCCUGCCUCUCACACUCACCCCAGGUGCUUCUUAACACAGCGCGCAUCCAACCCGGAAGCCAGCCGCACCAAUGUGUCGGAGGAAACACCGUGCACCUGGCAAUCUUGGUUAGCGCGCACUGCGCCCGGCCCGCCACAGGAGUCG